rnacentral:rRNA from 1 species
GGGAACUCUAGAGAGACGCCCGGGUUAACCGGGAGGAANGCGGGGAUGACGUCAAGUCCUCGUGGCCCUUAUAUCCAGGGCUACACACGUGCUACAAUGGUAAAUACAGAGGGCAGCGAGCCGGUGACGGCGAGCGAAUCCCUAAAGUUUAUCUCAGUCCGGAUUGGAGUCUGCAACUCGACUCCAUGAAGUUGGAAUCGCUAGUAAUCGCGGAUCAGCAUGCCGCGGUGAAUAUGUUCCCGGGCCUUGUACACACCGCCCGUCACACCAUGGGAGUUGAUUAUACCCGACGUCGCUGGGCUAACCCUUCGGGGGGGCAGGGGCCCAAGGGAUGGGUGGUAACUGGGGGGAAGUC